rnacentral:lncRNA from 1 species
GGAUUGACGAGAUUGGAAGUAAGAGCUUUGAAACGGCAUGCUCUGAUAAAACCCAACAUGGCGCUGCGAGAUACGACCGAGCUGAAUGCAUUUCUGGAGUCCGCGGACCUUACCACCUGUAUCCUUGCGCACUGCUAAACUGUACGUUACCAGCCACUGGGACGUUCUGUAAAGGAUGAUUGGAAACCUUAUUUCUAGGGAUUUGUCACACUAAGUCGAUUUUGACGGUUUUUCUCUCAUCUGUAAACAUAUUGACAUUUCACUGUGAAAAAGUAUUGUGCGAGUGUAAAGGGAACACUAUAACAUAUGGUUUAAUUGACUGACAAGUAAAUAACCCGUUAGACACACUUCUGAAUAUUUAUAUCCAACGGUUUGAAUAUUCACUGGCCCGAGAUGUCUAUGAUUUUAUAACGGAAUCGUAACCUCCACGCACGAAUAUUUGCUCAGAGCCGUGAACAACUUGGAAAAACGGGAAAAGGAAAGUUGGAAAUAGAGGAUAUUGACCAGAGCGCUGGUCGUUUGGAGGUGUUUUAAGAUGGACUGUCCCAUGAGGGGAUGACAUGCUCUCCGCUACACAGAUGUACGGAACGGUUCCCCCAUGGAUGAGUCACGAGAGGGCCCAAAUGUAUGGGAUGGUCAUGGAGGAGAGGAGAGUACCUGUUAGUGAUGCGGGGACCCAGAGAAACCUGGAUUUAAGAGAAGGCAACCACAUCACACAAAGCAUGGUGCGUCAUCCAUGUAUACGAUGUGUAUUAGUGUUAUAACACUGUUUAUAAUAAGGUUAAGACACGUUAACCCUCAUACCUCACACAAGUGAAGUCAUACCAUGUGUAUAACAUGUUACAGGUGUAUAAGGCAAGUGGAAGAGUGGUGUAUAACUAGUUGAAGAGUGGUGUAUAACUAGUUGAAGAGUGGUGUAUAACUAGUUGAAGAGUGGUGUAUAACUAGUUGAAGAGUGGUGUAUAACUAGUUGAAGAGUGGUGUAUAACUAGUUGAAGAGUGGUGUAUAGCAAGUUGAAGAGUGGUGUAUAACUAGUUGAAGAGUGGUGUAUAACCAGUUGAAAAGGUGUUUAACCAGUUGAAGAGUGGUGUAUAACCAGUUGAAGAGUGGUGUAUAACCAGUUGAAAAGGUGUUUAACCAGUUGAAGAGUGGUGUAUAACCAGUUGAAGUUUGGUGUAUAACCAGUGGACAAGGUUUUUAUAACCAGUUGAAAAUGUGUUUAACCAGUUGAAAUGUGGUGUAUAACCAGUUUAAGUGCGGUGUAUAGUCAGUUGAAGUGUGAUGUAUAACCAGUUGAAGAGUGGUGUAUAACCCAUUGAAGAGGUGUGUAUAACCUGUUGCAGAGUGGUGUAAGAGUGGUGUAUAACCAGUGGAAGAUUGGUGUGUAUAACCUGUUGAAGAGGUGUUUAUAACCAAUUGAUAAGGUGUUUAACCAGUUGAAAUGUGGUGUAUAACCAGGUGAAGUGUGGUGUAUAACCAGUUGAAGUGUGGUGUAUAACUGGUUAAACACCAAACUUCAACUGGUUAAACACACCGGUGUAAAUUGUUAUACACCACUCUUCAAAUAGUUAAAAACCCUCUUCAACAAGUUAUACACCACUCUUCCACUGGUUACACACUACUAUUCAACUGGUUAUACACUCAUCUAGAACUGGUUAUACACACAUCUUCAACUGGUUACACACCACUCUUCUACUGGUUAUAGACCAAACUUCAACUUAACAUACACCACACUACAACUGAACAUACAACACACAUGAACUGGUUAUACAACACUCUUUAACUGGUUAUCUUCUUACGGCUGAAAUCCCGUUAACGGGAUCGAUUUGACAACGGCCAGUGAAAGUGCAGGACGUCAAAGUCAAACAACAGAAAUCUCAUAAUUAAAAUUCCUCAAACAUACAAGUAUUAUACACCAUUUUAAAGAUGAACUUGUUGUUAAUCCCACCACAGUGUCCGAUUUCAAAAAGGCUUUACGACGAAAGCAUACCAUGUGAUUAUGUUAGGUCAGCGCCAAGUCACAGAAAAACACAGCCAUUUUUCCAGCCAAAGAGAGGAGUCACAAAAAGCAGAAACAGAGAUAAAAUGAAGCACUAACCUUUGAUGAUCUUCAUCAGCUGACACUCAUAGGACUUCAUGUUACACAAUACAUGUAUGUUUUGUUUGAUAAAGUUCAUAUUUAUAUCCAAAAAUCUCAGUUUACAUUGGCGCGUUAUGUUCAGUAAUGUUUUGCUUCCAAAACAUCCGGGGAAUUUGUAGAGAUCCACAUCGAUUUACAGAAAUACUCAUCAUAAAUGUUGAUGAAAAUACAAGUGUUAUGCAUGGAAUUAAAUAUAUACUUCUCUUUAAUGCAACCGCUGUGUCAGAUUUCAAAAAAGCUUUACGGAAAAAGCACACCAUGCAAUAAUCUGAGUACAUCGCCCAGGCACCAAAACAAGCCAUACAGAUACCCGCCAUGUUAUGGAGUCAACAGAAGUCAGAAAUAGCAUGAUAAAUAUUCACUUUCCUUUGAUGGUCUUCAUCGGAAUGCACUCCCAGGAAUCCCAGUUCCACAAUAAAUGUUUUUUUUCCGAUAAAGUCCAUCAUUUAUGUCCAAAUACCUCCUUUUUGUUUGCGCGUUUAGUUCACAAAUCCAAAUUCACGAGGCGCUGACACUUAAUCCAGACAAAAAGUCAAAAAGUUCCAUUACAGUUUGUAGUAUGUAUAGUAUGUAACGAUGUAUAGAAUCAAUCUUUAGGAUGUUUUUUUAAUCAUAAAUCUUCAAUAAUAUUCCAACCGGACAAUUCCUUUUUCUUUAGAAAUGAAAACGGCUGCGCGCAUAGCUGCGCGCAUGACUUAGCUCAUGGCAUUCUGCCAGACCUCUUAGUCAAACAGCUCUUAUUCGCUCCCCCUCACAGUAGAAGCCUGAAACAAGGUUCUAAAGACUGUUGACAUCUAGUGGAAGCCUUAGGAAGUGCAAUCGGACCAAAUUUUACACUGUAUAUUGGAUAGGCAAAGACUUGAAACCUACAAACCUCAGAUUUCCCACUUCCUGGUUUGAUUUUUUUCUCAUGUUUUUGCCUGCCAUUUGAGUUCUGUUAUACUCACAGACAUCAUUCAAACAGUUUUAGAAACUUCCGAGUGUUUUCUAUCCAGAUCUACCAAUAAUAUGCAUAUCUUAGCUUCUGGGCCUGAGUAGCAGGCAGUUUACUCUGGGCACCUUAUUCAUCCAAGCUACUCAAUACUGCCCCCCAGCCAUAAGAAGUUGAAGUGUGGUGUAUAUCCAGUUGAAGUGUGGUGUAUAACCAUCUGAAAAGUGGUGUUUUACCAUUGGAAGUGUGGUGUUUAACUAGUUGAAGUGUGGUGUAUAACCAGUUGCAGAGUGAUGUAUAACCAGUGUAAGAGUGGUGUAUAUCCAGUUGAGUGGUGUAUAUCCAGUUGAAGGGGGGUGUAUAACCAGUUACAGAGUGGUGUAUAACCAGUUGAAGGGGGGUGUAUAACCAGUUACAGAGUGGUGUAUAACCAGUUGAUGAGGGGUGUAUAACCAGUUACAGAGUGGUGUAUAACCAGUUUAAGAGGUGUUUAUAACCAGUUGAAAAGGUGUUUAACCAGUUCAAGUGUGGUGUAUAACCAGUUCAAGUGUGGUGUAUAACCAGUUGAAGUUUGGUGUAUAACCAGUUGAAGUGUGGUGUAUAACCAUUUAAACUGUGGUGUAUAACCAGUUGAAGAGGUGUGUAUAACCAGUUGAAUAGUGUUGUAUAACAAGAUGAAGUGUGGUGUAUAACCAGUUGAAGAGGUGUGUAACCCGUUGAAGUUUGGUGUAUAACCAGUUGAAGUGUAGUCAAUAACCUGUUGAAGAGGUGUGUAUAACCAGUUGUAGAGUGGUGUAUAACCAAUUGAAGUGUGUUGUAUACACUAGUUGAAGAGUGGUGUGUAACCUGUGGAAGUGUGGUGUUUAAACAAUUCUUGAAGUGUGGUGUAUAACCAGUUGAGGAGUUGUGUAUAACCAGUUGAAGAGGUGUGUAUAACCAGUUUAAGAGGUGUGUACAACCAGGGGAAGAGGUGUGUUUAUCCAGUUGAAGAGGAGUGUUAUAUAACCAGUUGAAGAGUGGUGUAUAACCAUUUGAAGCGUGGUGUAUAUUUGAUUUAUUUUUUUACCUUAAUUUAACUAGGCAAGUCAGUUAAGAACAAAUUCUUAUUUUCAAUGACGGCCUAGGAGCAGUGGGUUAACUGCCUUGUUCAGGUGCAGAACAACAGAUUUGUACCUUUUCAGCUCGGGAUUCAAACUUGCAACCUUUCGGUUACUAGUCCAACACUCUAACCACUAGGCUACCCUGCCGCCCCAAACCAGUUGAAGUGUGGUGUAUAACCAGUUGAAGUGUGGUGUAUAACCAGUUGAAGUGUGGUGUAUGUUCAGUUGGAGAUUGGUCUCUAUCCAGUUGAAGAGGUGUGUUUCACCAGUUGAAGAGGUUUUUAUAACCAGUUGAAGAGGUUUUUAUAACCUGUUGAAGUGUGGUGUAUAACUAGUUGAAGAGUGGUGUGUAAAACCAGGUGAAGAGGUGUGUAUAUCCAGUUGGAGAGUGGUGUAUAAACAACACACUUCAACUGGUAAAACACCACUUUUCAACUGGUUAUACACCACAUUUCAACUGGUUAUACACACCUCUUCAACUGGUUAUACACCACAUUUCAACUGGUUAUACACAACUCUUCAGCUGGUUAAAUACAACUUGUCAAAAGGUUAUACACCAAACUUCAACAGGUUAUAAACACCUAUGUAACAGGUUAUAAACACCUCUUCAACAGGUUAUAGACACCUAUGUAACAGGUUAUAAACACCUCUUCAACAGGUUAUAGACACCUAUGUAACAGGUUAUAAACACCUCUUCAACAGGUUAUAGACACCUAUGUAACAGGUUAUACACACCUCAACAACUGGUUACACACCAUUCUUCCACAUCACUCUGUUAUACAUCACUCUGCAACUGGUUAUACACCAAACUUCAACUUGAUAUACACCACACUUCAACUGGUUAUACACCACACAUCACUUGGUUAAACAUCACUCUUUAACAGGUUAUUCACCACUCUUUAACUGGUUAUACACCACACAUCACUUGGUUAAACAUCAC